AAUACUGGACAAUGGGCGGAAGCCUGAUCCAGCCAUGCCGCGUGUGUGCAGAAGGUCUUCGGAUUGUAAAGCACUUUAAUUUGGGAGGAAGGGUUUACACCUAAUACGAGUGAACUUUGCCGUUACCAAAAGAAUAAGCACCGGCUCACUUCGUGCCAGCAGCCGCGGUAAUACGAAAGGUGCAAGCGUUAAUCGGAAUUACUGGGAGUAAAGCGCGCGUAGGUGGUUCGUUAAGUUGGAAGUGAAAGCCCCGGGCUCAACCUGGGAAUUGCUUUCAAAACUGGCGAGCUAGAGUACGGUAGAGGGUGGUGGAAUUUCCUGUGUAGCGGUGAAAUGCGUAGAUAUAGGAAGGAACAUCAGUGGCGAAGGCGACCACCUGGACUGAUACUGACACUGAGGUGCGAAAGCGUAGGGAGCAAACAGG
rnacentral:rRNA from 1 species